rnacentral:lncRNA from 1 species
GUUCAGUUACAGGCAUUCGACUUUCAAACAUCUUUCCGGCACGUAAUGACGUGGUUGCAUAAAAAAUUUGGCUUUUAUAUCGUUUGUCAUCGUUCAUUUUUACAAGUUUUCGCUAUGAGUGAUGCAAUAUUUUUUGCUUUGCUGACUGUUUGGCAGCAAAUACUUUAACGGCAACAAACUGUUUAUUGAAAAAACAUUGAAUAUUUGACAAAAAGGCCAUGAGACAAUAGGAGCGAACCACGAGGCAAAGCCGUAAGUGUCGUCAUCAUGGAAGGAGAAAUAUCCUAAGGUCAAUCCAGAGCUUACAAUAUCACUCAAAGCUCACGAGGUUUGACAUUUCAUCCUCGUAAGUGAAGCUGGGAUUAACAAGGAUUACAAGGUUAUCCAACAGGUGUUGAUUGGGAUCGAACACAAUGGGCAGUAAUUUCACAAUCUCCUCGAUGGGUUUGGCUAAUGUGAUUUCCGUGUCUUCGUCGCGCCUCUGCCAUCGUCCAAUUAACAGGAUUUUUUUUAUGAAUGCGUCACAUUUCACCGUGUGGGGCACAACUGAAAUGGAAAAAUGGACGUCAUUUAGAGGACGAGUGAUGAUUCAUACUUUUUGGGAUUAUGGUCUGGUGUGAUGAUGAUCGAUGGUCAGCGAAUCGGACCUCUAAAGUGAAAAGAAAUUCAAGAAUUCGUGAGAAGACCGCACAACCGUGUAAUCCAUGUCUGAGUUAUAUGCAUCAGCGGAAGAAAAAAAAGAAAGAAAGAAAAAUAUGUAUAUAUUCCUGUGAAGACAUUUUUCAAUCGCAGGAAAUAACGCAGAGAUAGCAAGAAAGUUGCUGAUUCUAACCCAAAAAAAAAAGAAAAACGAAUUCCAAACAAGCGAAGCAACGAGCAAAACUAUUGUUAGAUAAUUGGCCUUGACAGGCUUUACCUUACGACUUGCUGUUAGGAUCGUAAAAGCCCCAAAACAGCUGCCUUCUCUAUUCACUUGGCCCCCUCAUCCUUCGUUGUGGCGUUAUUCGUCAACAAUAGUCUAAUGUUAAAAGUAGGUUUGUUUUGUUUUUUUUCACCAACUUUCUUAUUCUUUUAUUCAUCUUGUUGUUGUUUCUUCUUUUUUUUUUAAGCAUGUGCCAUUUCCUUAUCCGCUGAAAUAGAUUGACUGCAUCUAAAUUUUUGUUUGAAUACUUAAACUGAAGGCUCUUUUCCGUUUGAAUAAAAACCCAUCAGACGUCCUGUCGAGUUGGCACAAAGAAGGAACGGCGUGCAAAGCGAAUAGUCGUGGAAUAGCUAGUAUACUACCACUAAGCCCGAUAUACAACGUGACGAAGCAGAAGCUGUCUAGUAAAGAACAUUUGAAGCAUGAAGGUAAACAGGCUGCUGUCAAAUGAAGUUUUUCUCUCAAAUAUUUAUCUUGCAAUUUUCUGGGUACCAUGACAAUAUUUCCGAAUCUGUUUUGUUUUUGUAUGAGGAAUAAACAGCGAAAAUAAGCUAUUCCCUAAGUCUCUCCGCGAUAAACUUGAUCGUUAUCACUGAUUUAUCAUCAAGGUUUACUGAGAAUGCGCAGUACCGUCUCCAGAGUUAAACAGAAGGGACACUUAAAUGGAAAAAGCCAGCAGUCGACGCAUAGCUAUUUAACCGUUUUUCAAGGGAAAUCGAUAGUGGCGUUCGUAGCGGUGAUUCUGAGAAACAAAGUUGCUGCAGAGCUACUGAUAGUAAACAAGCAUACACUCUUAGCUGCUUAAAACUGCCGCUGCUAUGCCUUCGGUUUUUGAAAAUCGGCCACUAGGGGCGCUCUUAUACAAUUUCGUCGGAAAGGCGGGGAAUAAGUGUCGACUGCUGAAUUUUCUGUUUUUUUUUGUAUUUGACCAUCUCUUAAUUGGCAACGUGAUACAAUCUAACGAAUAAUCUAUGACUUUGUCCAAAUUUAUGGACACUUAAGCUAUUUCAUUAAAAGUAAGUUAUUCAGCUAUGAUUUAGUGCCUGCUUUUCCUUGUUCUUUAACUGUGUUACCCUUGUAAGUUAUUAAAAAUUGUGCUGAUUAAACAUUCUUCAACCGUCUGAUUCCAACUUAGAUAUACAAAACCUGAAAGUUAAUAAAAAGAUAUCCUGCUGCAUUGCCGGUUUCAAUUCA